UGAAUAGGUACAAAUUGUGCCGAAUACUGUGAAAGAAGUAUAUGACUACUGAUUGAGAUGAACAUUCUGAAAGAAACUCCAUGGGAACAUGAAUGGAAUUUUAAAAGAAGACUUAAUAUCGAUUUGAGAGUCAAGGACUGACUCUGAGAAAAGGAAUUUAAGACUUAGGCAAUGGCAGCAUUUAAGUAGACAGAGACAAGGUAUAGUGUCUUAACCAUAAGUCAUAAUCUCAUUUUUAAAAAAUACACUGGCCACUAUGUAGAAGAUAAAUUGAUGUGGUUGGGUGUAUUCAGAGGGAGAAGGGACGGAGGCAGAAAUGUUAAUGAGAUACGCAAUUAAGAAGAUGCUGUAAUAUUUGAAGCAAGGGAUUAUGAAGGCUUGAAUUUAGGUGUGGCAACAGAGAAACAGAAUGGAGAAAAAAAUACUGUCAGUUUCUUAACCUGGGACCUAUAACAAGGCUGCUCACAGAAAAGGAACUAUCUCCAGUUUCACUGGGUGCCCUGGAUUCAUAGAUGGACAAAGCUUUCUCUUGUCAAGAUCUUGUCUUUCAACUCUGUUGGAUAGCAUAUUUAUCUUAGUUUCAGCCUUGAAUUCUCACUUGGACAUAUUCUAUUUCCCUACCAGAGUGUAACCCCAAUAUAAGGACUGACAGUCAAGCUCUACUACACCUCUUAGCCAGUUUCUCCAGAUAAUAACGAAUACCAUACACAUUCACAGGCCAUGUUCUAAAGGAUUCUCAGAAGAUGUGCAUGAAGCACCAUACCAGAGAGAUAUGGAACUCUAUUUUCAGAAUUUUUCAGAAUGUCCACUGGGCAGCCAGCUGAUUGAACUCAGAAAUGGGACAUGUUCUCUCCCUAUGCGGUGAAUCUAUAACUGUGAGGAUAGGAAGCAGAAAGGAUCCAGGCACAUACACUUCCCCUACUGUAGAAGGCUACUUUGAACGGUACUUCUCUCAAUCCAUUGUAAGUUCUGCAUGCUGAUUCAUCUGCUGUGUCUCAUCACUGCUGAAUGUGAA
rnacentral:lncRNA from 1 species